rnacentral:rRNA from 1 species
GACGAACGCUGGCGGCGUGCUUAACACAUGCAAGUCGAACGGAAAGGCCCUGCUUUUGUGGGGUGCUCGAGUGGCGAACGGGUGAGUAACACGUGAGUAACCUGCCCUUGACUUUGGGAUAACUUCAGGAAACUGGGGCUAAUACCGGAUAGGAGCUCCUGCUGCAUGGUGGGGGUUGGAAAGUUUCGGCGGUUGGGGAUGGACUCGCGGCUUAUCAGCUUGUUGGUGGGGUAGUGGCUUACCAAGGCUUUGACGGGUAGCCGGCCUGAGAGGGUGACCGGCCACAUUGGGACUGGGAUACGGCCCAGACUCCUACGGGAGGCAGCAGUGGGGAAUAUUGCACCAUGGGCGGAAGCCUGGUGCCGCAACGCCGCGUGCGGGAUGGCGGCCUUCGGGUUGUAAACCGCUUUCGCCUGUGACGAAGCGUGAGUGACGGUAAUGGGUAAAGAAGCACCGGCUAACUACGUG